GGAAUAUUGGUCAAUGGGCGAGAGCCUGACCCAGCCAAGUAGCGUGCAGGAUGACGGCCCUACGGGUUGUAAACUGCUUUUUCCGGGGAAUAACCGGCGGCACGCGUUGCUGCCCUGCAUGUACCCGGCGAAUAAGGACCGGCUAAUUCCGUGCCAGCAGCCGCGGCAAUACGGAAGGUCCGGGCGUUAUCCGGAUUUAUUGGGUUUAAAGGGAGCGCAGGCGGGUGCUUAAGCGUGCUGUGAAAUGUACCGGCUCAACCGGUGACGUGCAGCGCGAACUGGGUGCCUUGAGUGAGUGCGAGGUAUGCGGAAUUCGUGGUGUAGCGGUGAAAUGCUUAGAUAUCACGAAGAACCCCGAUUGCGAAGGCAGCGUACCAGUCCUUUACUGACGCUAAAGCUCGAAGGUGCGGGUAUCGAACA
rnacentral:rRNA from 1 species